GACAGAGGUGCCGAGCGUUAGGCGGAAUCACUGGGCUUAAAGCGUGUGUAGGCGGGCGGGCAAGUACCUUGUGAAAUCCCACGGCUCAACCGUGGAACGGCUGGGUAUACUGCCUGUCUUGAGCCAACUAGGGGCGAGCGGAACAGACGGUGGAGCGGUGAAAUGCGUAGAUAUCGUCUGGAACGCCGGAGGUGAAAACAGCUCGCUGGGGUUGUGCGACGCUGAGACACGAAAGCCAGGGGAGCGAACGGG
rnacentral:rRNA from 1 species